rnacentral:tRNA from 1 species
GCGCUCGUAGCUCAAUAGGAUAGAGCAUCUGACUUCUAAUCUGAAGGUUGCAGGUUCAAGUCCUGCCGAGCGCGCCA